GGUGAACGCUGGCGGCGUGCCUAAUACAUGCAAGUCGAACGAGGAGCCUUUGUAUUCGUACGAGGGAUUUCCGAGUGGCGAACGGGUGAGUAACGCGUUGAUGACCUGCCCCAAAGCGGGGGAUAACAUUUCGAAAGAAAUGCUAAUACCCCAUGUGAUCAUUUGAAUUAGAAUAAAAUGAUUAAAGGAGUAAUCCACUUUGGGAGGGAUCUGCGUCCCAUCAGCUAGUUGGUAAGGUAAUGGCUUACCAAGGCUAAGACGGGUAGGGGACCUGAGAGGGUGACCCCCCACACUGGUACGUGAAACACGGACCAGACACCUACGGGUGGCAGCAGUAGGGAAUAUUGCACAAUGGACGAAAGUCUGAUGCAGCAACGCCGCGUGUGUGAUGAAGGCCUUCGGGUCGUAAAACACUUUUAUGAGGGAAGAGAAAGGACGGUACCUCAUGAAUAAGAUCGCUAACU
rnacentral:rRNA from 1 species